UGAGGAAUAUUGGGCAAUGCCCGCAAGGGUGACCCAGCAACGCCGCGUGGAGGAUGAGUGUCGUAAGAUUGUAAACUCCUGUUAGAGGGGAAGAAUAGUACCGGUUGGACCGGUAUAUGACUGUACCCUCAGAGAAAGCCCCGGCUAACUACGUGUCAGCAGCCGCGGUAAUACGUAGGGGGCAAGCGUUGUCCGGAUUUACUGGGUGUAAAGGGCGCGCAGGCGGGAUAAAAAGUCAGUGGUGAAAUCCUACAGCUUAACUGUAGAACUGCCUUUGAUACUUUUAUUCUUGAGUUCGGGAGAGAGAGACGGAAUUCCAGGUGUAGUGGUGAAAUACGUAGAUAUCUGGAAGAACACCAGUUGCGAAGGCGGUCUCUUGGUCCGACACUGACGCUGAGGCGCGAAAGCGUGGGGAGCAAACA
rnacentral:rRNA from 1 species